rnacentral:tRNA from 1 species
AAAUAAGAAGCAAAUUUUGCAGUUAAUUUCGACCUAACCCUUGAUUACAUAAUCCUUAUUUU